UACAGAGGGUGCAAGCGUUGUUCGGAAUUAUUGGGCGUAAAGCGCGUGUAGGCGGCUUUGCAAGUCGGGUGUGAAAGCCCUCAGCUCAACUGAGGAAGUGCGCCCGAAACUGCAGAGCUUGAGUACCGGAGAGGAUGGCGGAAUUCCCCAAGUAGAGGUGAAAUUCGUAGAUAUGGGGGAGGAACACCGGUGGCGAAGGCGGCCAUCUGGACGGAUACUGACGCUGAGACGCGAAAAGCGUGGGGGAGCAAACAGG
rnacentral:rRNA from 1 species